AUGAUUGUACACCUCCUAUUCCCGCUUAAUUGUGUGUUCAUUUUGUUAAUCAAGAAGCAUCUGAUUUUAUGGCUGGCGUGCUGCUCCAGCGCGACUGCUUCGUGUGCUGCCUCGAGUCGCGCCGCCACUAUGCCUGCGCCAAGACGGAGGCCGCUGCCACUCUCGACGCCCUUUGCUGCGCGCUCUCGCCGGCGGCGUUCACAAAGCCUUGUCGCGGCGCUGCAAGUGUUGCCCCCCCUCCUCCCCAAGGGCAAGGUGAAGGAAGGUGCCUGUGUGGUUUUUUUGCACCUUGCAGCGAGGAUUGUUGUAUCCAACCUGCGCAAAAAUGCCAAGAAGUCCUUCUCGGAGACGAUUAAGGACAUGUACCCGCACUACAACGAGAGAUCUGGACUGCUUCUUUGUGGCUUUCAAACUUGA
rnacentral:rRNA from 1 species